rnacentral:rRNA from 1 species
CGCCCAUCAGCUAGCCUAUAAACCUAAAAACAACAAACCACAUUAAUUAGCCCCAAAUACACUUAACCAACUUAAACAAACCAUUUUCCCCCUCUAGUAUGUGUGACAGAAAAAG